GUGUUCAUUUCAGGGGCACAUAUCCUAAAAUUGAAAAGAGACAGAGAUGAUUAGUAUGUCCCCUGCAUAAGGAUGACACACAAACUCAAGAAGCAUUCCAUAUUUUU
rnacentral:snRNA from 1 species